rnacentral:rRNA from 1 species
UAGGGGACCUUAGAGGGCAACCCUCCACACUGGAACUGAGACAAGGACCAGACUUCUACGGAAGGCAGCAGUGAGGAAUAUUGGUCAAUGGAGGAAACUCUGAACCAGCUAUGCCGCGUGUAGGAUGACAGUCUUUUAGAUUGUAAACUACUUUUACAUAGAAAUAAAAGUUACUACGGGAUGGUAACCUGAAGGUACUAUGCGAAUAAGUGUCGGCUAAUUUCGUGCCAGCAGCCGCGGUAAAACGAAAGACACAAGCGUUAUCCGGAUUUAUUGGGUUUAAAGGGUGUGUAGGUUGUUUAUUAAGUCAGUAGUGAAAGCUUACAGCUUAACUGUAAAAUUGCUAUUGAUACUGAUAAACUUGAGUCAGAUUGGAGCGUCUGGAAUGUAUGGUGUAGCGGUGAAAUGCAUAGAUAUCAUACAGAACACCAAUAGCGAAGGCAGGAUGCUAAAUCUUCACUGACACUGAGGCACGAAAGCGUGGGUAGCAAACAGGAUUAGAUACCCUGGUAGUCCACGCCCUAAACUAUGAUCACUAGCUAUUGGAAAAAUUAUAUUCAGUGGCCAAGCUAAAGCGAUAAGUGAUCCACCUGGGAAGUACGAUCGCAAGAUUGAAACUCAAAGGAAUUGACGGGGUUUCGCACAAGCGGUGGAGCAUGUGGUUUAAUUCGAUGAUACGCGAGGAACCUUACCAAGGUUUAAAUGUAUUACGAAUAAGCUGGAAACAACUUAGUCUAUAAGACGUAAUACAAGGUGCUGCAUGGUUGUCUUCAGUUCGUGCUGUGAAGUGUUUGGUUAAGUCCUAUAACGAGCGCAACCCUUAUUGUUAGUUGCCAUCGGGUAAAGCCGGGGACUCUAACAAAACUGCCGGUGUAAAUCGAGAGGAAGGUGGGGAUAAUGUCAAAUCAUCAUGGCCUUUAUGCCUUGGGCUACACACGUGCUACAAUG